UCAUCAGGGAAGCUUUCUCUUUAUGCUUCCAAGGAGAGUUCAGCGUUGCCCCAGGAGGGAGGGACACAUCUAAUCAAUGCCCCUCCACCUUCACCCAAGCCUCCUGUGGAAGAAAGCCCUUGGACAAUGCUGCUUAUGGAUUUGCCAUUCAGUGCCAGCCUUCAGGAAAUAACUUCCAGCACCUACAGCAACUCUGCUAGUGUGACUUUCAAGGAAGAUGGCAAACAGACUCAGCAGCUUUUAGCGUUUGCCAGUUACUUGUGGGACAAAGCCUAAGUUGGAUGGCAGCCACUGAUGCUAUAUACCAAAUUAAUAUGCAAGAGAUUUACAGCUGAUCUUGGCAAAGAAAACACAGUCCUUUAGACACCAGUUUCUCAAUCAAUCACACAUGAGGCAACUGCGCUAUGUGGACACAUCCUUAAAGUUAAGCAAGAAAAAUAAAGAUGGGAGGAAAAAAAAAGUUGUUGUUAUUGUUGUUAGGUUUUUACAGUAGCAAUGUCCAGCAAAACUGUUUGGGUAUUUUUUUGUCUCCCACAAAAAAAAUUCUUCCAUGGGUAUUGAAUUAAAAGGUAGAAAUAUCACUGGAGGUUAAAACUGUUGCACUUCUUGUAAAUGUCACACUGCAGGAAAUGUUAUUGGUCACUAUUUGUACUGCUGAGAGAGGCCUUAGAGCUUCUCAUAUAAAGACAUCUUCCACCACAGGAAAUAAUGUGUAUCAUCAUCAUCA